GUGUUAGUUUGUUCGGCUGAUAUUUCUAUUCACUCAUUCGUCUGUCUGAUGAAUGAAUGAAUGAAUAGAUGAAAUUCCCGUUCGCAUGUCCAGGUGUUUCACUGGGCAUGUGCGGGAAUCUCACAGUCUGUCUAGUGUGGGCUGAUGACGUGUCCCACAGGGACUUCACCUACCCACACAAAGAUGGCGGCGCCCUGAAUCAAGAUCGGGGCAGAAAAUAA